GUUUGACUUUUUCUGCUGGACAAACAGAAAUAAGCAAUUUAUUCCAAAGUGGAAGAAAUGUGCUGGUAGAUUAGAUGUCCAUUCCACAAAUCUUGCCACAGCAGCAUCACGGUGUGGGGAGCAGAACAGUGAUAAAUGCAGGCCAAUAAACAAAAGGAAACAUAUUGCAGGCCACAUAAAAUUUAAGACUUUGCCUGGAGGUUCACUUCCCACCACGAGGCAACAUGCAACAACUGGAUGGUUUUAGGUCAAAUAAAAAUGUAGAAUUCAAUUGGGCAGUUGUUGCAAAAUUUUAACAUUGAUGUUCAGAGACACUGCAUCCAAUCUGAGUUUGACCUAUUCUCUAUGAAAGCUUUUAACCACAAGAGUCCAGAGGUAGGGAAUAAAUACAGAAACGGUUUGUUUUUAUAGUGAGAACCUGUCUAUAAUUCUCCAAAGGAGCUAAACUUUCACUCUCUACAUGGACUUGCAGGUACAGCAAAAUGUGGUUGUGCAUGACAAAGCGUCUCAGAUUUUUAAUUGUAAAAAUAAACAAACUAUUGAAGAAUCAUCAGUCACUUUUCACAAAUAACUCUAAAACAUAGACAGGUUUGUUCUUGCUACUCGACUAAAUGUGAAAAGUGAAUACUUUUGUUAGGCACUAUCUGUAUCUCGGCGUGAAGCUGACCUUAUUUUGUCAUUAUUUUUUCCAUUCAACAGCUGUGCGCUUGUACUUUCACUCUGCAGCGACUUUUACAUUUUACGCGUUAAGUUAUUAGAUACGCACUUUACUUGCUGUCACUUACCUGUACUUUACAAUUAAACUAGUUUAUUGAACAUGAGGCACGCGUCAGUGGACUCCAAAUAUCCACACAACUCGGACUGGGAUUUCCUGACCCUUGAAGACGACGCGCCUCUUGCACGCACAUUUAGCGACAGAUCCGGCAGCAGCCUGGGGGUGAAAGCUCUCUCCAGGCAUUCGCCGUUUAGGUUCAAGUUUUUCUUUGAAAAUAGCUCAAGAUGAAUCAGUCUGGAUGGACGGAUGGAUGGAGAGCCUGCAAAUGUCACAAAUCCCAAAUAUGGAUCCUCCUUAACUUCCAUCUCUAACCGGGCACAUAAAGAACUAAGGCCAGCAGACAGAAUGUAACAGAAUCCUACAGACAGAAUCCUACAAAUAGGAUGUAGGCUUGGCCUUUGACAAGACACAAUAAACCAACAUUCAUUGUAGCUGUAUGUUCAGGGUUGUUUUCCUGUAGAAAGUUUUCUGCAGUCUUACAAUUUUUUCUUCCAAUAUUACUCAUAUUUACUUCCAUCGAUU